GUUAGGAAUAUUGGACAAUGGGCGCAAGCCUGAUCCAGCCAUGCCGCGUGAACGAUGAAUGCCUUCGGGUUGUAAAGUUCUUUAGCCGAUGAUUAUAAUGACUGUAGUCGGAAAAUAAGCCCCGGCUAACUUCGUGCCAGCAGCCGCGGUAAUACGAAGGGGGCGAGCGUUAUUCGGAAUCACUGGGCGUAAAGCGUGCGUAGGCGGUCUCGUAAGUUAGGAGUGAAAGCCCAGGGCUCAACCUUGGAAUUGCUCUUAAUACUGCAAGGCUAGAAUCUCGGAGAGGAUAGCGGAAUUUCCAGUGUAGCAGUGAAAUGCGUAGAUAUUGGAAGGAACACCAGUGGCGUAAGCGGCUAUCUGGACGAGUAUUGACGCUGAGGCACGAAAGCGUGGGGAUCAAACAGGAUUAGAAACCCUGGUAGUCC
rnacentral:rRNA from 1 species